CACCAGCCGUGGCUACCACUGCAGGUGCCCGCCUUCCUGGCAAGGGGAUGAUUGCAGUGUGGAUGUGAAUGAAUGCCUGUCGAACCCCUGCCCAUCCACGGCCACAUGCAACAAUACUCAGGGAUCCUUUAUCUGCAGAUGCCCGGUUGGGUACCAGUUGGAAAAAGGGAUAUGCAAUUUGGUUAGAACCUUCGUGACAGAGUUUAAAUUAAAGAGAACUUUUCUGAAUACAACUGUGGAAAAACAUUCAGACCUACAAGAAGUUGAAAAUGAGAUCACCAAAACGUUAAAUAUGUGUUUUUCAGCAUUACCUAGUUACAUCCAAUCUACAGUUCACGCUUCUAGGUAAGUAACAGAAUUAUAUUUGCUUGUGAACUAGUCUGUAGAAAGGGGAGGCUGUUCUAACAUGGGUGAU
rnacentral:lncRNA from 1 species